UACGUAGGUCCCGAGCGUUGCCCGGAUUUAUUGGGCGUAAAGCGAGCGCAGGUGGUUUAUUAAGUCUGGUGUAAAAGGCAGUGGCUCAACCAUUGUAUGCAUUGGAAACUGGUAGACUUGAGUGCAGGAGAGGAGAGUGGAAUUCCAUGUGUAGCGGUGAAAUGCGUAGAUAUAUGGAGGAACACCGGUGGCGAAAGCAGCUCUCUGGCCUGUAACUGACACUGAGGCUCGAAAGCGUGGGGAGCAAACAGG
rnacentral:rRNA from 1 species